AUGGCCGUGAGCAAGCGAUGGACGCGGGUGCGCACGCUUGGCCGCGGCGCGUCGGGGGCCGAGGUCUUCCUCGCCGUGGACGACGCCUCGGGCGAGCUCUUCGCGGUCAAGUCGGCGAGCGCAGCUUGCUCGGCGGCGCUGAGGAGGGAGCAGCGUCUCAUGUCCGGCCUGCAAUCCCCGCGCGUGGUCUCCUGCAUCGGCGGCCACGGCGCCCGUGAUGGUUCCUACCAGCUCUUCCUCGAGUUCGCCCCCGGCGGCUCGCUGGCGGACCGGGUGGCGAUCGACGGGGGCCUCGACGAGCGCGCCGUCCGCAGCUACGCGGCCGACGUGGCGGCCGGGAUCGCGUACCUCCACGCCACCGGGAUGGUGCACGGGGACGUCAAGGCGCAGAACAUUAUGAUCGGCGCCGACGGCCGCGCCAAACUCGCGGAUUUCGGGUGCGCGAGGGUGGCACAACGCGGGCCGAUCAUCGGCGGCACGCCGGCGUUCAUGGCGCCGGAGGUGGCGCGAGGCGUGGAGCAGGGCCCCGCUGCCGACGUCUGGGCGCUCGGUUGCAUGAUCGUAGAAAUGGCCACCGGCCACGCGCCGUGGAGCGGCAUGGACGGUGACGCUCUGGCGGCGCUGCACCGGAUCGGGUACACAGAGGCCGUCCCAGAGGUGCCGCAAUGGCUGUCCGCUGAGGCCAAGGACUUCCUGCGCGGGUGCUUGGUCAGGCAGGCCAGCGACCGGUGCACGGCAGAGCAGCUCCUGGAGCACCCGUUCUUGGCCGCCGCCGGCGUCGUCGACGGGAAGCCGCAAGCCGUGGAGAGCAAAAGCAAAUGGGUGUCGCCGAAGAGCACGCUGGACGCGGCAUUCUGGGAGUCGGAGUCAGACACCGAGGAGGCGGAGCACGACAGCACGGCCGGGAGGAGGAUGGGGGCAUUGGCGUGCCCUGCAUCGGCGCUCCCGGACUGGGACUCGGACGAGGGAUGGAUCGAUGUG
rnacentral:rRNA from 1 species